rnacentral:lncRNA from 1 species
GGGAGCUUUAUGGAGGAGGCUGCAUUUGAGAUGAGCCUGGGAGGACUUGUAUGACUUUGAUAAGUACGGAGGGAUGGGAAGCAUCUUCCCAUCAGAGCGGUAUAUGAAGAAAGCGUGGUGUGAGGCCUCUGUGCGGCGUGUUUGAGGGUGUAUGAGUAGUCCAGUCUUUCACUGCACCUGUAGAGAGGUGAGAGAGCCUCUUGAAAAGCUGGACUAGAGAGACUGGAGGAAUGGGAAAGCCAGUUUAAAGCAGUGGGAAUCAACCUUUGAAAGCUUUGGGUUUUAUAUCACAUUGGAAGUGGAUUCCUCUGUGCCUCCUGUUUCCCCUUUGACAUUGAUAUGAUGAAGAGAUCUAAAAGAUUACCUGUGUCCUCCUUCUGGAUUUGGAUGAUCAAUUCUUCAUGGGCAAGCUUUCUUAGAUGAAGAAGCCAGACAUGGAAGACACCAUUGGAAGUAUUUGAUACACACAUGCCUUUCUUUGAGACCAGUUAACAGGUUUGUUGAGUUGUUUCUUUAUUAAUUUAUUUUUCAAUGCCAGUUUAUAGGGUACUUAAAU